UUAAGCACAUAUCGUCUGCCGGUAUAUCACAUGAAUGUGUUUAUUGUGUAAUUUGUGAAAGACGUCCAUUCUCACAAAGCAGGAAGACAAGUCUUUCACCAGCUCUCUACUUCAGCUGAUAGUGCUGUACAUUGCUGCUGGAAAUCUAAAGCUGUCUGCGUUUGGCCAGGGUCUCUGGCAUCAAUUAACAGAAACUUUAACGUUCAGGAAACAUUUACAAAAAGCUUUCAGACUUGACAACUACGGAAAGGAAGAAGACACUCCUAGUGAGAAUGUCAUGUGGCUCAUGUUUUUGGGCCAUCAUCUGGCUGGUGGUUCUGCUGGUUCUUGCCUGGCCUUUGAGUAUUGUGUUGGGGGGGCUGUAUGGUCUCAUCGCCCCUCUCACCGUAUGCAUCGGUCUGGACCGGCUGGCUGACCUGCUGAUGGAGGGUGCCAGUCUGGGCCGAAAGUGUGCUCAGAACAUGAGGCAUGGCAAACCGUUGUGUUGAGAUUCAGCUCAGCAUGACAACGUACCUUUGAAGAACAGUCUGCAGAGUUUCAAAGUCUUUGAACCUUUUAAGUGUUUCGCCGGGCAAACCUUGCAACUGUAUUAAUAGUAGAGUUCCUGUUCGUCAUAAUGUUUUCAAUGAGAUGCAAUUUACUGUUCACCCUCAAUGGCUAACUUAGAUUGUGAUCUUGAUAAUGGUGCUCUAUCUCACUCUCUCUGUAUCACUGUUUUAGGCUAUAUUUGAAAAAAUAAAACAUUAUUUCAGUA